rnacentral:rRNA from 1 species
GAUGAACGCUGGCGGCGUGCCUAAUACAUGCAAGUCGAGCGAACAGAUAAGGAGCUUGCUCCUUUGACGUUAGCGGCGGACGGGCGAGUAACACGUGGGUAACCUACCUAUAAGACUGGGAUAACUUCGGGAAACCGGAGCCAAUACCGGAUAAUAUUUCGAACCGCAUGGUUCGAUAGUGGAAGAUGGUUUUGCUAUCACUUAUAGAUGGACCCGCGCCGUAUUAGCUAGUUGGUAAGGUAACGGCUUACCAAGGCGACGAUACGUAGCCGACCUGAGAGGGUGAUCGGCCACACUGGAACUGAGACACGGUCCAGACUCCUACGGGAGGCAGCAGUAGGGAAUCUUCCGCAAUGGGCGAAAGCCUGACGGAGCAACGCCGCGUGAGUGAUGAAGGUCUUCGGAUCGUAAAACUCUGUUAUUAGGGAAGAACAUACGUGUAAGUAACUGUGCACGUCUUGACGGUACCUAAUCAGAAAGCCACGGCUAACUACGUG